rnacentral:rRNA from 1 species
GUGGGGAAUCUUCCGCAAUGGACGAAAGUCUGACGGAGCGACGCCGCGUGAGUGAAGAAGGCCUUCGGGUCGUAAAGCUCUGUCAUCAGGGACGAACGGCCGGUGGAGUGGAAAGCCACCGGAUUGACGGUACCUGAGAAGGAAGCCACGGCUAACUACGUGCCAGCAGCCGCGGUAAUACGUAGGUGGCAAGCGUUGUCCGGAAUUAUUGGGCGUAAAGCGCGCGCAGGUGGGAUCUUAAGUCCAUUUUUAAAGUUCGGAGCUCAACUCCGUGAUGGGAUGGAAACUGGGAUUCUUGAGUACCGGAGAGGAAAGCGGAAUUCCCCGUGUAGCGGUGAAAUGCGUAGAUAUGGGGAGGAACACCAGUGGCGAAGGCGGCUUUCUGGACGGUGUCUGACACUGAGGCGCGAAAGCCAGGGGAGCGAACGGGAUUAGAUACCCGAGUAGUCC